rnacentral:rRNA from 1 species
AACGUACGCUGGCGGCACGCCUAACACAUGCAAGUCGAGCGAGGUAGCAAUACCUAGCGGCAGACGGGUGCGUAACAUGUGGGAAUCUGCCUUUUGGUUCGGAAUAACACGGGGAAACCUGUGCUAAUACCGGAUAAGUCCUUACGGAGAAAGUUUUAAUGCCAAAAGAUGAGCCCGCAUUUGAUUAGUUUGUUGGUGAGGUAAUGGCUCACCAAGACUACAAUCAAUAGCUGAUUUGAGAGGAUGAUCAGCCACACUGGGACUGAGAUACGGCCCAGACUCCUACGGGAGGCAGCAGUGGGGAAUCUUGCACAAUGGGCGAAAGCCUGAUGCAGCGAUGCCGCGUGAGUGAAGAAGGCCCUUGGGUUGUAAAGCUCUUUUGUCGGGAAAGAUAAUGACUGUACCCGAAGAAUAAGGUCCGGCUAACUUCGUGCCAGCAGCCGCGGUAAUACGAAGGGACCUAGCGUAGUUCGGAAUUACUGGGCGUAAAGAGUAUGUAGGCGGCUAGAUAAGUUAAUUGUGAAAGCCCAAAGCUUAACUUUGGAAUUGCAAUUAAAACUAUUUAGCUAGAGUAUGAUAGAGGAAAGCGGAAUACAUAGUGUAGAGGUGAAAUUCGUAGAUAUUAUGUAGAACACCAGUUGCGAAGGCGGCUUUCUGGAUCAUUACUGACGCUGAGAUACGAAAGUAUGGGUAGCGAAGAGGAUUAGAUACCCUCGUAGUCCAUACUGUAAACGAUGAUUAUUAGAUGUGGGGAAUUAUUUCUCUGUAUCACAGCUAACGCGUUAAAUAAUCCGCCUGGGGAGUACGACCGCAAGGUUAAAACUCAAAUGAAUUGACGGGGACCCGCACAAGCGGUGGAGCAUGUGGUUUAAUUCGAAGCAACGCGCAGAACCUUACCAACCCUUGACAUGUUCGUCGCGAGACUAAGAAAUUAGUCUCU